UAAGUGAUUCUCCUGCCUCAGCCUCCCAAGUAGCUGGGAUUACAGGCGCCCGCCACCAUGCCCAGCCAAUUUUUUGUAUUUUUAGUAGAGAUGGGGUUUCACCAUGUUGGCCAGGCUGGUCUCAAACCCCUGACUUCAGGUGAUCCACCCACCUCAGCCACCCAAAGUGUUGGGAUUACAGGUGUGAGCCACCGCGCCCGGCCUUGUAACCUGACUUACAGACCUCCUAAGAUAAGUGACUCCUUGUGAAACCAGGAUGAAACAUGAAAGAUCUAAAGCUACUUUUGCCUUAAUUUUUGCAGCAGCAACAGAAUAAAAAAGAAAAUGCAAGGAAAAAAAUUAAAAAAUAAAGCGACCUUUGCCAAGAGCAAGUUAGAAACUCAGUGAAGCCAGGGUGGCACUUUUGGCUGUUUCUGUAGAUUUCAUCCCCCAUGAAGGCAGAACAGGGGAAGAGGCACAGUUUUCCAGAAUUCCAUGUUGGGAUAUGGGGGAAGAAGAGGAAGAAAAUUCCCAUAUUCUGAAUGUAUAGAUUUGGAAGCUUUUAGGUACCAAUUCAUUCAGACCUAAAUUUACUAAAUAACAAGCCAAUUGAGGGGGAAAAAAACUUCUAAAAAGACAGAGUACAGUGUCUCUGUGGCAGUGAAGCCAACUAGAUACCAGGAAUAAAGUUUGGAGUAUAGAUCUCUAUCAUAGAAUCACUCAGGGAUGUUCAGCCAGCUCAUCCAAGGCCACGUAGUAAGGUAAAGGUGGAGCCCGCAUCUCCUAAUUUACUGUCCCAUUUCCUUCCGACACCACACUGCCUUGAAUUUAGGGAAAAGUUAAUUUCCAAGUGUUUGUGCAAUGGGCCAGAACUUCUCCCUGAAGGAACAUACUCCCAGUUCUUGAGGUUCAUGUGUUUGCCUCACCACUGCGCUCCGCAGUGCUGAGUAAGGCUCACUGUGCUCCCUCGCUGGUCAUUCCCCACCCUGCUGAGACGGCCUGACACAAACACCCUGGUGAAGCCACAAGGAGACCACCUUGAUUUUCACCCAGGGAGGUCUUGGUUUCACAGCUUGGUUCAAGUUUCCUGAGGUGUCAAAACUAUUUGAUACCUCUUUGGAGCCAAAACAAAGCAAGCAGCUCCCGGAGGCAGAUGAACUUAGGCUCCACCUCCUUCUAGAAGCUGAGUGAAACCACUCCUUCCUUGUCCAACUGGAAAAACCUAAGAAAUAGGCCUCUCCAAGUCCCUUCUGGUCUUUGAGAUAAUUCUCUAGGAGAUCUUUGGCCAUGCCUACAUUAAAACAAAUGCGACUGGCCAGGAAUGCAGUGUAGAAUUGAAACAUCAGGGCUGAGUGAUUCAUUCCUCUUUACCCAGUUUUUGUUUUGUUUUGUUUAUCUGUCUUCCCUCUUGGGGAAGCCUCCACCCAGUUCUCCCAUCCAGGCCACUGGGUUCUGAACCCCCUCCUUCCCUCCUUUAGCCCUCCCGCUUGCCCUACUUGGGCCUUUUCAGCAGUGUGGGUCACAUCAUCGUCAGAUGGAACCAGAAGCAGCCAGGAGUGCUUUUUGACACUUCCAGCUCAGCCAGGACCCUAGAGGAUCCAGGGUUACUAUCCAUGGUGAAAAGAAGUUUCUCUAGAAUUGGUAUUAAUGAGGUUAAGUAACUUAAUUUCCACCAACAACUUAUCCAGACAUUUAAAAAGGCAAUAGAGAUAAACAGCUUAGUAACAACAGACUGGCCUUCAAAUUCCAGAGUAUUGUUUUCUCCCUAAUUGAGCUGUCUGCCUUGACUGGUUAGUCUAAUAAAUGCACGGAGAAGGUGUACACACAACACAGUACUUUGCACUAUUUAACACCAUGAUCAUGUGGAAUACAUUAGAAAGGAAAUAGGUCAAAAACCAUCAUGUGAACCAUCUAAUUUGAUGUUUGGGCUAAGGCUAAAAUCUUGACAGGGAGGUUCUAAAGUGCUAAAAUGCAGAACAUUCAGGCUGACUGGUUCACCCACACCAGAGAGAGAAACUCAAGUGGGGCUGGGAGGGCAGGGGGGCCCAGAAGUGACCCAGCAAUAACCUGCCCUUGUGUUCAUUUCCAGAGACCAAAAAAAAAAUUUUUUUUUUUUUUUUUUGAGGCAGAGUCUUGCUCUGUCACCCAGGCUGGAGUGCAGUGGUGCGAUCUUGGCUCACUGCCACUUCCACCUCCUGGGUUCAGGCGAUUCUUCUGCCUUAGCCUCCCGAGUAGCUGGGACUACAGGAGCCCGCCACCACGCCCAGCUAAUUUUUGUAUUUUUAGUAGAGAUAGGGUUUCACCAUCUUGGCCAGGCGGGUCUGGAACUCCUGACCUCGUGACCCGCCCACCUUGGCCUCCCAAAGUGCUGGGAUUAUAGGCAUGAGCCAUCACACCUGGCCCAGAGACCAAAAUUUAAGAAUCUCAAGUAAUUAACUACUGUAGCCAGGUUUACAAUAUAGUACCAGAGUCUCAGGGAUGGAAGGAAUUCAUCAUACAAGAUCCUGGUCACCUUACCUGGCCUCACAAAAGCCAUCUUUUCAAAAUUUAACCAUCACUAUAAAAAGAAAAUUGGUGUCAGUGAGCCCCAGAAAUACAUAUAAUAGUUUCUUUAAAGGCAGGGCUAAUUGUUGACACAUCUCUCUUGGGAAGACAUGUGUACCACAAACAAACAAAAACAGAAUCCAACCACUUCUAUCUAGAUAGUUAUCUUUCCAGGCAGAAAAUCUAACAUUCAGUAACUAAACCAAAUCCCAGAGCCUCAGCAGCCAAAACGGCCCUAGCUGACAUUUCAUCCAGCCUCAUUUUAUAGAGGAGAAGGUAGAGGCCCAUGUCUUGUCCAUAGUUGCACACCUGGGAUCCAGGCCAGAAUUCUUGUAGCUACACGGGCCUGGAAUCCAGCAUUUUAGGUUGAGUAAAAUCAUUUCCUGCUAGGUCCCUGAUUCUAUUGAGAACCAGGGCUAAGGCUUUAUGGAUUUGGGAAAACUUAAGUUUCUAUUGCAAGUGUCAACCAAUGGGUCCCAGAGGUGCUUUGAAGUCUCUGGCUUCCACAUUUAACCACAAAGUGCUGCUUAUGUCCUGAUGCUUACAUGAUUCAGUUAAGGUGCUUUCCAAACCCGGUGACAACAGCUGGGGCCUUGAUCUCACGUAAGGUUCCUGAUGAGCAGCAGAGGUCUAUACUUAGGGUUCCUGUGAAAAACAAACUCCCAGUCUCACAUUUGGUCACACUGCAGGUUUGGCCAAAUUAUUUCAUACAAGUAGUUCUCACUGGCCAAACAGGUUGUUUUUCUCCUGGAAAAGUGGGAUCAAAGUGACUUUGGUCCUGAUUUUUCUUGCUUCCAAGAUGUGUAAGAACCAGAUCACCACCCCCCAACCAAAAA